UACAUAUCUCCCUCCGUCCGGAAAUACUUGUCAUCAAAAUGAAUAAAAGAUGAUGUAUCUAGAUGUAUUUUUAUUCUAGAUACACCUCUUUUUAUUCAUUUUGAUGACAAGUAUUUCCGGACGGAGAGAGUAUGUA
rfam:Triticum aestivum genome assembly, contig: Triticum_aestivum_CS42_TGACv1_scaffold_096820_2AL